rnacentral:rRNA from 1 species
UACGUAGGGUGCAAGCGUUAAUCGGAAUUACUGGGCGUAAAGCGUGCGCAGGCGGUUAUGUAAGACAGAUGUGAAAUGCCCGGGCUUAACCUGGGAACUGCAUUUGUGACUGCAUGGCUAGAGUUUGGCAGAGGGGGGUAGAAUUCCACGUGUAGCAGUGAAAUGCGUAGAUAUGUGGAGGAACACCGAUGGCGAAGGCAGCCCCCUGGGUCAAAACUGACGCUCAUGCACGAAAGCGUGGGGAGCAAACAGG